UGCACUGAGAAUGAUUUAGUGAGGGUGUCUUCAGGAUUUGUAACUCUGCACCUACGAUUCUACAUUAAAUCGAAUUCAUCCCACAUGGAAACCACCAUCAGAUCAUUCUCCCUAUUACAAGCCCUUCAAUUGACCUUCUUGGUAACCCAAGAACAAGCCUGGACGUUUCCUUGGAGGAGGAAGGAAGAUGAAGGGACACCUAACAGUGGAAGUUGGCCUCCAGAACGAAGAAGGAGAUGGUGGGUUGCAGAAGCUCACGAUGCUUGUAACUUAUAUUAAUCAUCCAUACUUUGCUGGUCUUCUCGACAGGGCCAAGAAGGUCUACGGCUACCGCUCCGGUGCCCCAGUUCCACUGAAGCUUCCUUGCACGGUGGAGGAGUUCAUCCAUGUCAAGUCGCUCGUCGAGCGCGAGUCCAGUGGCAGUCAGUAGUCCUUCUCCUUGUCUCCUUGCCUUGGACAUAAAAAUGGGCAUAUGUUAGCUGGAAUCAUCAUUUCCAUAGCUCAGAUGCAGUCAUGAGGUCUGCCAGUAUGUGUGAGCUGGAUGCAUCAGUUCUGCUACAGAUGCCAAACACGCAUGAGAACUGUAAUAAAGAGCAGUACUCCAUCAGAUUGUCUCUUCAA